rnacentral:lncRNA from 1 species
CAUGAAUGAUGAUGAUGAUGAUGAUGAUUAUUAUUAUUAUUAUUAUUCCCCUUGACAUAAAAGCAUUAGUAUAUAAUUUAAAAUAUACAAAUACGCAACCCUCAAAACAGAAUUAAAUGCACAAAAAAAUUCACAGUUAAAAUCCAUGAAAACAAAUUGCACGGUACUUAUUUUGAAAGUUGUUGUUAUACUCCAGAAACUUGGUUUUUGUGGCUGCCACAGACUAUGUCGAAUUGGAUGAGACUUUGUGAGGUAGUCGUUGAAAAUCUAUAGCAAAACGUGCUGCAGGACGUUCCGCAAAAACAAAGAUUGGCAAUUUAAUAAACCUUUUCCAUGUUUUUAUGGUAGAACCAAUUAGGAAAUGACAUUUAUAAUCUUGGAACAAAAAUCAUGUUACAUAAUAAAUAAACAUGUAUACAAAUGUGUGUCCCUGCCAUGACUGGUUCCCAUGCCUUCCCUGCAGCUGGCUUGUUUCCAUGCGGAGCAGGCCAUGGCCCAAGCCCGGCUGAGCUACACAACCUCGCGAGGGCUGGCCGAGCAGCUCCUGGGCUUCCUGAGUCCCCCCGACUACCAGGGGCUCUUCCAGAUCUUGUCACAGCCUCCCAUGACGUACUCCGAGUUUUGCGACACCAUCCGACGUACAGAAAACACCCUCCUGCACCCCAUCUUCAGGAGCAAGCCAGGACUUCCAGCCCAGAGGGAUCCCAGCCCUGACUCUGAAUGCUGCAGUUCGUGAGUGAUUUAGUGAAGAGAGCUAAGAAAAUGGGAAGGGCUUAUAGAACAAAUCUGUGUCAGGUUGAGUAUCCCUUAUCCGAAAUGCUUGGGACCAGAAGUGUUAUGGAUUUCACAAUUUGGAAUACUUGUAUUUGCAUAUAGGUACAUUAUCUGAUUUCUUGGAGGUGAGUAAAGGUAAAGGUUUCCCCUGACGUUAAGUCCAUUUGUGACCGACUCUGGGGGUUGGUGCUCAUCUCCAUUUCUAAGCCAAAGAGACGGCAUUGUCCAUAGACACCUCCAAGGUCAUGUGGCCGGCAUGCUUGCAUGGAGCACCGUUACCUUCCCACCGGAGCGGUACCUAUUGAUCUGCUUGCAUUCAAAGCACCCCUAAGCAGAGGCUGGAUGGCCAUCUGUCGGGGGUGCUUUGAAUGCGAUUUCUUGCUUCUUGGCAGGGGGUUGGACUGGAUGGCCCAUGAGGUCUCUUCCAACUUUACUAUUCUAUGAUUCUAUGAUUCUACUCACAUUUGCAUGUUUUCGAACUGCUAGGUUGGCAGGAGCUGGGGCUAACAGCGGGCACUCACUCCACUCCCGGGAUUUGAACCUGGGACCUUUUGGUCCGCAACUUCAGCAGCUCAGCGCUUUAACACACUGUGCCACCAAGUCUAAACACAAAGUUAAUUUGUUUCAUAUACACCUUCUAUCCUGAAGAUAAUUUUAUACAAUUUUAAUAAUAUAGCGUGCAAAACAAAGUGUGUGUGUGCAUUGAACUAUCGGAAGUCAUUGUCUCAGCAACCCAUGUACAUUUUGGAGUAUUCUGUAGUAUAGAGAUGCUCAGCCAAUACUACAACUCCAUUUCUUAUCCUGUAUGCUUUUUCCCCUUUCCAGGUCAGACAAUCCAGAACUGAGCUAUCCGAAAAGGAUUCAUGAUCUCCAGGUCUUUAUAUCUCCUUGCACAGUAAGUAUUUUGACUAGUGAAUGGAUCAGGCAAGUGCAAACUUGGGCCGUGCAGGUGUUUUGGACUUCAACUCCCACCAUUCCUAACAGCCUCAGGGC